CAUACCUAUUCGAAGGGAUAGGGUCGGUUUGGCCGGAUUUCACACAGGUGUCGCAUGGCUGUCGUCAGCUCGUGUCGUGAGAUGUUGGGUUAAGUCCCGCAACGAGCGCAACCCUCAUCCUUAGUUACCAUCAGGUUAUGCUGGGGACUUUAAGGAAACUGCCAGUGAUAAACUGGAGGAAGGUGGGGAUGAUGUCAAGUCAUCAUGGCCCUUAUGGAGUGGGCUACACACGUGCUACAAUGGUGAUUACAAUGGGCUGCAAGGUCGCAAGGCUGAGCUAAUCCUAAAAAAUCAUCUCAGUUCGGAUUGUUCUCUGCGACUCGAGAGCAUGAAGUUGGAAUCGCUAGUAGUCGUGGAUCAGCAUGCCACGGUGAAUACGUUCUCGGGUCUUGUACACACUGCCCGUCACGCCAUGGGAAUUGGUUUCACUCGAAGCU
rnacentral:rRNA from 1 species